GAUGAACGCUGGCGGCGUGCCUAAUACAUGCAAGUCGAGCGAACGGACGAGAAGCUUGCUUCUCUGAUGUUAGCGGCGGACGGGUAAGUAACACGUGGAUAACCUACCUAUAAGACUGGGAUAACUUCGGGAAACCGGAGCUAAUACCGGAUAAUAUUUUGAACCGCAUGGUUCAAAAGUGAAAGACGGUCUUGCUGUCACUUAUAGAUGGAUCCGCGCUGCAUUAGCUAGUUGGUAAGGUAACGGCUUACCAAGGCAACGAUGCAUAGCCGACCUGAGAGGGUGAUCGGCCACACUGGAACUGAGACACGGUCCAGACUCCUACGGGAGGCAGCAGUAGGGAAUCUUCCGCAAUGGGCGAAAGCCUGACGGAGCAACGCCGCGUGAGUGAUGAAGGUCUUCGGAUCGUAAAACUCUGUUAUUAGGGAAGAACAUAUGAGUAAGUAACUGUGCACAUCUUGACGGUACCUAAUCAGAAAGCCACGGCUAACUACGUG
rnacentral:rRNA from 1 species